AACGAACGCUGGCGGCAUGCCUAACACAUGCAAGUCGAACGAGACCUUCGGGUCUAGUGGCGCACGGGUGCGUAACGCGUGGGAACCUGCCCUUAGGUUCGGAAUAACUCCCCGAAAGGGGUGCUAAUACCGGAUAAUGUCUUCGGACCAAAGAUUUAUCGCCUUUGGAUGGGCCCGCGUUGGAUUAGCUAGUUGGUAGGGUAAAAGCCUACCAAGGCGACGAUCCAUAGCUGGUCUGAGAGGAUGAUCAGCCACACUGGGACUGAGACACGGCCCAGACCCUUACGGGAGGCAGCGGGGGGGAAUAUUGGAAAAGGGGCGAAAGCCUGAUCCAGCAAGGCCGGGUGGGUGAUGAAGGCCUUGGGGUUGUAAAGCUCUUUUACCCGGGAUGAUAAUGACAGUACCGGGAGAAUAAGCUCCGGCUAACUCCGU
rnacentral:rRNA from 1 species